GGCGAGUUACGAUCCCGUGCAAGGUAAAGCAGAAGAUGCGGACCCGCAGCGAAAGCGAGUCUGAAAAGGGCGCAAGAGUACGAGGUCCUAGACCCGAAACCAGGUGAUCUACCCAUCUCCAGGCUGAAGUUCAGGUAACACUGAAUGGAGGCCCGAACACACGCACGAUGAAAAGUGAGGGGAUGAGGAGUCGGUAGGGGUGAAAUGCCAAUCGAACCUGGAG
rnacentral:rRNA from 1 species